GUGGGGAAUUUUGGACAAUGGGCGCAAGCCUGAUCCAGCCAUGCCGCGUGCAGGAUGAAGGCCUUCGGGUUAUAAACUGCUUUUGUACGGAACGAAAAGACUGUGGUUAAUACCUGGGGUUCAUGACGGUACCGUAAGAAUAAGCACCGGCUAACUACGUGCCAGCAGCCGCGGUAAUACGUAGGGUGCGAGCGUUAAUCGGAAUUACUGGGCGUAAAGCGUGCGCAGGCGGUUAUAUAAGACAGAUGUGAAAUCCCCGGGCUCAACCUGGGAACUGCAUUUGUGACUGUAUGGCUAGAGUACGGCAGAGGGGGAUGGAAUUCCGCGUGUAGCAGUGAAAUGCGUAGAUAUGCGGAGGAACACCGAUGGCGAAGGCAAUCCCCUGGGCCUGUACUGACGCUCAUGCACGAAAGCGUGGGGAGCAAACAGGAUUAGAAACCCCAGUAGUCC
rnacentral:rRNA from 1 species